ensembl:lncRNA
UGUGACAGUUACCCGGAUGAUGUACUAAUCGGGCAAAAAUUCCUAGUAUACAUCCAGAGCUCACUACGUCGGAUACUGUAUCCCAUAAUGCAACGCGGCACCGUUGGAAAAAAACCGUUGAACAUUUCGAAUAAUGGCGGCGGAAAAUGCGAGCGAUGAAUAUAAAUGGACUGAUGUAGACACCGCAGCUCUCAUCAGUUGGAGAUCUACGAAUGAGGGCAUGUUCACGGGCAGGAGGAAUGCGGCGCAGAAGGGGUUCGAAGAAUUUAUUAAGGUCCAGGGGCUAGAGGGGAAGAUGGAGGCCACCAAAAUUAAAAGGAAAUGGGAGAACCUCAAACAAAAAUAUAAG